rnacentral:lncRNA from 1 species
CUGGCCAAGGUCUUAGAACUCAGUCUAAUAAAUCACAUAGGAUCACUCCUCAUCUAUCAAGAUUGAUAGAUUCCAUGUAAGUGCAUACCCUACUCCUACAGUGAACUUACUGCAGCCAAUCUACACAACAAGGAUCCAUAUGACUAGAGACCAUGUAUAUGUGCAGUCAAACUACAAUAACCUCACUGUGAGUAGCCGAAGCAUCGCAGGUCAAAGGACCAGUCA